GACGAACGCUGGCGGCGUGCUUAACACAUGCAAGUCGAACGGAAAGGCCCUGCUCUUGUGGGGUGCUCGAGUGGCGAACGGGUGAGUAACACGUGAGUAACCUGCCCUUGACUUUGGGAUAACUUCAGGAAACUGGGGCUAAUACCGGAUAGGAGCUCCUGCUGCAUGGUGGGGGUUGGAAAGUUUCGGCGGUUGGGGAUGGACUCGCGGCUUAUCAGCUUGUUGGUGGGGUAGUGGCUUACCAAGGCUUUGACGGGUAGCCGGCCUGAGAGGGUGACCGGCCACAUUGGGACUGAGAUACGGCGCAGACUCCUACGGGGGGCAGCAGUGGGGAAUAUUGCACAAUGGGCGGAGGCCUGAUGCAGCAACGCCGCGUGCGGGAUGACGGCCUUCGGGUUGUAGUCCGCUUUCGCCUGUGACGAAGCGUGAGUGACGGUAAUGGGUAAAGAAGCACCGGCUAACUACGUG
rnacentral:rRNA from 1 species